CAGACUUGUAGAAGCUGUGAUUUAUUAUCAUGACUCUGAUGGUGACAUAUAGUGAUGUUUUGAGUGUUUUAAAAUGCUAAUGGCACUCAAAGUAUACCAUGGUAAAUGAUUAUUACUAUAUUCAAACUUUAUUUUGCUGUCAGAAUACACAGAUGAUGAUGCUCUCAUCCCCAAAAACACAUCUGUCCUCAUCAGACGGGUCCCUGCGGCUGGACUGAAGACCUCCAACAGAAGAUUUGUUGGACAUCAAGCUGGACCAUCAGCUAAAUCUUCUCAAACAGGUGAUUCUUCACUCCUCUCACUGGAGCAGCUGUUGAAGGUUUCAGAGUCGACUCACCUACGACUCGCUCCAGUUUGAGGGCCUCAACAUCACUGUGGGAGAGCUGAAGCGGCAGAUCAUGAGGCGCGA